GGAGUCUGGUCCGUGUCUCAGUACCAGUGUGGGGGACCUUCCUCUCAGAACCCCUACCGAUCGAUGGAUAGGUGGGCCGUUACCCCGCCUACUUCCUAAUCGGACGCAUCCCCAUCCGCAAGCGGCUAAAGCCUUUGCUCCCACUCCGAGGACGUCAUGGGAGGUAUGGGGGAUUAAUCCGACUUUCGCCGGGCUAUACCCCGCUCGCGGGAAGGUUGGAUACGCGUUACUCACCCGUGCGCCGGUCGCCAUCACCUCGUCCGAGGACAAGGCAUGCUGCCCCGCGACUUGCAUGUGUUAAGCCUGUAGCUAGCGUUCAUC
rnacentral:rRNA from 1 species